rnacentral:lncRNA from 1 species
AUUCUCAUAAUCCUUAAAAGUUUCAGUUGAAAGUGUCUUCCAGAUGCUUCAGAUGGAUGUAUGCAGAUGAGACAACAAAGCUGUUGAUUUCUUUUCCUUGGUCCAGUAGAGCAUCUUUCCUUUGUGACUCAAACUUUUUUCGGGGGGGGGGGUGAAUUUUUUAAUUGAGGUAUAACUGACAUACAUUUUCAGGCGAUUCAAUAUCUGUAUAUACUACAAAGAAAGAAACAGAAGACUUAGCAUGCUCUCUGUCCCCACCCAGGACUUACGGGGAGAAAAGGAAGUGGUUAUUGACACUAGCAACGUUUGUGUGCUAAGAGUGCUCAUGUCAUUUGCUGGACCAAC